AUGGGCGCCGGAGUCGCCGCCUAUGCCGGCGCGGCGGGGACGUGGAUUGUGAGGGAGGAGGAGGAGGAGAAGUCGGGCCACAGUCGUGGGAGGAAGCGGGCGCGUGAGGAGGAUUCUGAGGAGGACGGGGUGGAGGGAACGAGGCGAUCGCGGGAUGGAGGGAACGAGGGCAUCGCGGGAUGUCGGACUCUUCUCGUACCCGACGGAUACGCCACGUCGUCCUCCAGGCCCGGCCCCACUUCCCCCCACCCCGUCUCACCGCCGUUGCGCUGCCGUUCCAAAACCCUAGCCCCCACCCCUUCCCCCACCCACCAGAAUGGCCGACGCCGCCGCGCUCGCCGCCGCUGUCCUCGGCGCAUCCACGCCCCCGGCGGCCGCCGCCGCGGCCUCCGCCGUGCUCGACUACCUGGCCCGCCACGCCCCCGCCGACCACCCGCGCGCCUUCUUCGCCGACGCCUUCCCCGCCGUCCUCUACCGCCUCUUCGUCUCCUCCCCGUCCUCCCCCUCCUUCCUCGACCUCGCCGCCGCCGGCCCCGACCCCGACCCGGCGCUCGCCGGCCUCCUCCUCGCCCUCCUCGCCCCCUCCGGCCCGCUCCUCGCCGCCGCCGCCGCCGCCGACCGCCGCGACCUCAUCCGCUUCGUCUUCCCCUCCGAGCGCCUCCCCUACUGGCUCCGCGUCGCGCUCGCCGACGCCGACGCCGGCGCCCGCGCCCUCGCCUCCCCGCUCCUCGCCGCCCGCGUCGGCUCCGAGCUCCACCUCUCCGUCUUCGAGUACUUCCUCUUCUGGUUCGCCUACUACCCCGUCUCCUCCGCCGAUCCCGUCGCCUCCGCCGCCGCCCCGACCCACAAAUCGCGCUCCCGCAUCGAGUCCUGGGUCUCCACCCUCGCGCCCACCGCCGCCGGCACCCGCAAGCCGGGCCAGAAGCCUGAGCCCUGUCUGUACCUCAAGCUGCUCUACGCCUACCUCAGGGAGUUCGUGCCGACGGCCGCGUGCACGCCGGUGCGCCGGCUCACCGGCACCCUCCUGCAGCGCACGGCCAGCGAAGAAGGCGCUGACGCCGCUGACCCUUUUGCUCGCGCCGAGUUCUUCCUCCACACCCUCGUCCAGUUCUGGCUCGUGGGGGACGACUUCUCGCCGCUGCCUGUGCAGACGUACCGCGCGUUCGGACUCAAGCUGCCCUCCCGGGCUCGCGCCGAGCUGAGCGAGCAGCCGCCGUCCCCUGGGCUCGGGGACGCGGUCAAGCUGCUCGUCAUGUACCUCAACUGCUGUGUUGGUGGUCCUGCACGCAUGGUGUUCGAAGGAAUGACAGCGAGGAAUGUGGUCUGCGAUAGCCAGGUUGGAUUCUGGAAUCCCCUGAUACAGAGGCCUAUGUAUCGGUUUGUGUUGAGGGCCUUCUUGUUCUGCCCCAUUGGCGCGGUGAUAAAAAAUGCGACGCAAGUCUUCUCUGUGUGGUUGGCAUAUAUGGAGCCAUGGAAGGUUACACAGGAGGAGCUGGAUGAGUAUGACGUGUCCCGGAUGCAGGGGAUGGGCACACAGGUGAUGCAGAAAGGGGAGCUGCUGUAUACUCCGUCGUGGAAGAGUUAUGUGCUGUCCAAUUACCUGUUCUAUAGCUCGAUGGUGGUGCAUUUCCUGGGUUUUGCACACAAGUUUAUCCACUCUGAUGUCUCCUCAGUGCUCGUGAUGAUUUUAAAGGUAUUGGAAGUCUUGUCUUCAUCAGCAGAACUGGUGGAUCUUCUAUAUAAAGUGGAUAUUGCCUAUCAUUCUAAACUGGUUACUUCACCGUCAACUUCUUCUGAAUCAGAUGAUGUAAUGAAGUAUGUUCCGUCAAUCCGUGAGCAGCUAAAGGAUUGGGAGGAUGGUCUGACAGAAACUGAUGCAGAUGGAUCUUUCUUGCAUGAGCAUUGGAACUCUGAUCUAAGACUUUUCAAUAGUGGUGAGGACGGGGCUUAUCAUCUGCUUCAGCUGCUUCUGAUCCGGGCAGAGUUGGAGAUACAACGCCUGCCAGGCGACACAGUACAAGCUCUCCAGUCGUUGGAUCUGAUAAAAUCCCGGAUGAAAAAGAUCUUCCAGGGGCGCAUUGAAGGCAUCCACCACCAGAAUACUUCAGCGCAAGAGUUGCAGCAUCAACAUCCAGGGCGCGGCGAGAUAUUUACACCUAAGCAUCCCCAUUCGGGGAGGAGCAAGUUUGGCGAAGUCAGAUACAGAGGCGACUGGAUGAAGAGGCCCAUCUCGGAGACUGAAGUGGCCUGGCUCGCGAGGAUCCUUAUCCACAUCUCUGACCGGCUGAACGACGCCCUUCGACUUGGCUGCGACGGUGCUGCUGAUGAUAGCGUUGCUAACCCGACGUACAUCAAGUUUGACAGGAACGAUCUGACGACAAUAGGGGGACCGAAGGACGCCGCUAGGAUGGCUCUCGUGGCUAUCUGUUCGCUGCUGGCGGUUGUGGGACAGGCGGUGCUGAGGUUCAUGAGGGCGCACAGGGUAAAGAUCAAUCUUAGAGUUUUUGCUUCGAAGAAGCUGCUGGCUGGCCUCGUGUUGCUGUACGCGAUGGUGGCGGGGACAAAGAGAGCUUUUUAUUGAGCUCUACAUGUGUUGCUUCCAGCACUGACACCGUUGCUAAUGCUUCUGUGAUACUCACUGAAGCUCCCAAGUUGGAGAUGAUGGUGCAUGUGAUGUACAAAACUCAUAGGAAGGAAGGAAGAGAUGGAAACUCACAAAGGGAUCGACUUGUUAGUGUGUGCCGUGGAGACUGAGAGCAAGGGAACGGUGCCCACUGGCUGGGUUCUUGUUUUGCUCUUUGUUAGAAGUGGCUGGCAACGGCACUCAUGUAAAAUGAAAGGAAAAAUGAUGUAAACUUACGUUGUAAUACAGGGUUCCGUAGUCCUGGAGAAAGAAAGAAAAACCUGGUUCGCUGUUUGGCUCGCCAGUUGUUUUUGUUUAUGGUUUGUUUGUCAUGGAGAAUUGCAUUUGCUAUAAUGAGACUGAUAACGAGGUGGUCGCACUAA